GACGAACGCUGGCGGCGUGCUUAACACAUGCAAGUCGAACGGAAAGGCCCUGCUUUUGUGGGGUGCUCGAGUGGCGAACGGGUGAGUAACACGUGAGUAACCUGCCCUUGACUUUGGGAUAACUUCAGGAAACUGGGGCUAAUACCGGAUAGGAGCUCCUGCUGCAUGGUGGGGGUUGGAAAGUUUCGGCGGUUGGGGAUGGACUCGCGGCUUAUCAGCUUGUUGGUGGGGUAGUGGCUUACCAAGGCUUUGACGGGUAGCCGGCCUGAGAGGGUGACCGGCCACAUUGGGACUGAGAUACGGCCCAGACUCCUACGGGAGGCAGCAGGGGGGAAUAUUGCACAAUGGGCGGAAGCCUGAUGCAGCAACGCCGCGUGCGGGAUGACGGCCCUCGGGUUGUAAACCGCUUUCGCCUGUGACGAAGCGUGAGUGACGGUAAUGGGUAAAGAAGCACCGGCUAACUACGUG
rnacentral:rRNA from 1 species